GAUGAAGAACGUAUCAAAAUGCGAUAAGUAAUGUGAAUUGCAGAAUUCAGUGAAUCAUCGAAUCUUUGAACGCACAUUGCGCCCGCCAGUAUUCUGGCGGGCAUGCCUGUUCGAGCGUCAUUUCAACCCUCAAGCCCUCGGGUUUGGUGUUGGGGAUCGGCGAGCCUUUCUGGCAAGCCGGCCCCGAAAUCUAGUGGCGGUCUCGCUGCAGCCUCCAUUGCGUAGUAGUAAAACCCUCGCAACUGGAACGCGGCGCGGCCAAGCCGUUAAACCCCCAACUUCUGAAUGUUGACCUCGGAUCAGGUAGGAAUACCCGCUGAACUUAAGCAUAUCAAUAAGCGGAGGA
rnacentral:misc_RNA from 1 species